rnacentral:lncRNA from 1 species
AUUAUUAGUUAAGAUUUGUCCCAAGAGUUUGGUUGGUAUGCUUAUGGAAGCACGGAGGCCUUCGUGCUUUCAAGUUGUUUUCGAUGUUCGAAUUUUCGAAUCGACGAUCGGUUCCGUUAGAGUUGAUUUAGAGUAUUUGAAGUACCUAGAAAAUAAAUUUUACGAUUUUUCGAUAUCAUUUGCCUAGUGAUCGAAGGGGCUCAAAAUUAAUUAUUUUAAUAGCCGUAGUGAGCCGAUUGCAAGCUUAACGGUGUAGAAAUAUCCAAAUCACGUGAAAUUUUGAUAGAAAAUUCUUUAUACUAUAUAAAAUAAGAUCAAUAUCUUUGAUCUAAAUUUUUAAUGUCAUAUCAUCACAUUUUGUGAGAUUUUUAUUUUCAACCGUUGAUUUGAGCCCCUUCGAUCACUAGGCAAAUGAUAUCGAAAAAUAACAAAAUUUAUUUUCUACGUAUUUUAAAUACUCUAGAUCAAGUCUAACAGAGCUGAUCGUCGAUUCGAAAGUCCCAACAUUGAAAAUAACUUGAAAGUACGGAGGCCUCCUUGCUUUCCUAAGCAUACUAGCCGCACUCUUGUCCCAC